rnacentral:sRNA from 1 species
UCGAUAUGAUUCUCAAAAGACUGUUGCC